ensembl:lncRNA
GUUCUACAAGUUUAUGAAUUCCUGUGGUUUGCACCAAUUGAGUUGAGUUCUUUGUCACUUGCAACCAAAAGCAUUCUAGUUGAAAACGGAACUCAGAUGAUAGAGCAGAAGUAUAUUGUUUGUUGCAUAAGGCAUAGAUUCGUUAUGAUGAAUGGGGUAUUUUUAUUGUUUCAGAAAAAGGAUGUGUGUAGAAUUUGGACAAUUAAAGAGAAUGUCUAAGGUAGACAUUCAUUAUUAUUUUUUGCUACAUAGAAUCAUAUUUCCUUUCCUAUGUCUGGGGAAUCUUCCCUCUUGUAAUGCAGAGAACGUCUCCUGCUGUGGAAGCCAGAAAAAAACCCUCAUAUACUGAUUUCCUUGCACUCCCUUAUUAAAGAGAUUAAAGUAUGGGCACAAGACUUUGUGUAUUGAUCCAAUCCUAGACUCAGAAAUCAAUUCUACAAAAAAGAUAAGGACUCCAUUCUUGCAAUGGAGGCGUUCUGGUGGCAGCAAAUGCAGCGUCCAGUAUUGAUGGUGUUAAUGUUAAAAUCGGUGGUCUCUCACAUACAUUCAUAAGAACCAUUCUGUGACGAGAUUUCAGGCUUGUUUUGGCUUCUUAGUCUCUCACAUUAGAUCUCCAGUCUUCCUGGAGCUAUAAAAUAUCGUUUAGUCAUUUCCUUUUUCAGCAUAAAUUAGUCAUAUUUAAUUUCUGUUGCUUGUAAAAAUGAGCCUUGACUGAUGUAUUAAGUGAAUUUCUGAGAGCCUCACAGGAAAUUAUUCACAGACUCAGAUAUUUGGAUGAGAAUCUGGCUCCUGCUUUAAUUUAAUUGAACCCAGAGAUCAAAAAAAAAAAAAAAAAAAGGAUAAUCUCAGCAUUUAAAGAACUGAUACUGUAGAAGGAAGGCAAGUCAUGCACAUGCACACCAGCACCAGUAAAGCAAGGUAGUGUGGUAAGCGUAUCAAAAGAGAGCAUGAACUAUGGCAUGCCAAUGUUUUGAGUGAGAAAUCACAUCCCUGAGGAGAUUAGGUGUGGUUUCCAGACAGAACUGGAAUUUCACUGUGAAAACCUUUAUGAAUGUCUAAUUGCAUGGGUUUUAGUAGAGAUAAGAUAACCAUUAUAAGGAGACAAAUUAAAUUCAGACAAAGCUAAUUUGCAGUGGCUGGAUUAGAAUAUCUGAGUGUUCUUAAAAACAAAAUAAUUACCCAAAAUUGGGAAAAUUACUUUGACUUUUGCUUCUUUUAGGUUAUUCCCAUUUCCAUCGCUAACUUAUAACUCCUUGAAUACAACGAACUUGAACCUUGAAAGUAUUCACUAAAAUGAGCCAUCCUAUCAUUAACAAGAUACAGUGACUAUUAAACUCAGAACAGUUUUCCAGUUAUUAGUCAAGUUUGAUUAGCUUCAUUUGAUGGAUAAGGAGCCCCACAAAGGAGAAGUAAUGUAUUUGAUUCUUCCAUGAUGAAUUUGCCUGACUCAGAACCCGAGAGCCAGACUCUGUUAUUCUUAUCAUCUCUCUCCUUCCCCCGCCCCUGCAACUGACGUUAUUUGGAAAUAAUAAAAUUAUUUCAAAACACCUUAAUGAGAUUUUAAAUGAGUGUGUAAUUUAUUAUCUAAUUAUGUUUCUAUUCUCUAGAGAAGGGACUGUAUAUUUCAGGCUGCCAACUUUUCUGUAAUCCCUGCCAGUUUGUGGGGGUAGAUAGGCUCUGCAUCAGGUCGGUGGUAGCAGGUCAUCCAUCUUGGCGUCCCUGCGGCAGGCUGGGGUGUUGGAAAACUGUAGAAUUAGAGGCAGGAAACUUAGUUUCUCUGCAACGUGGGGAAAAUCAUUUAACCUUAGUGAAACUGGAGUGAUAACAUCUUCCUUUCCUUCCCCACAGUGCAAUGGUGAGGGGCAUUUGAUAUAAGAAGGAUAAAAGUGAUUUAUGAACUUAAAACUCUUUCUAAAUGAACUUUAGGCAGUAUUAUUUUCAAGGAGAAGCCAAGGGUGGUAUUUAAGCAGCGGGCCCAGUGCUGUCAAUAACUGAGGACAAACACCUGCCGAGAUGCUACAGAUCGAAGACCCCAUCUUAACUGAUUGAAUUAAAGACCAAUUUUAAAUUUUAAAGCUUAAUUCAGAAGUGGGAGUUCUAGGUUUGAAUCCCUAAUCUCUGAUAUCAGCUAUGUGACCUGGAGCAAGUUAGCAACUCUCAUUAAUCCUCUCAAAAAGACAGAGAGAGAGUGGGCAAAAUAAUUUCUAAUCAACAUCUUUUCAUUAAUCCUCUCAAAAAGACAAAGAGAGUGGGCAAAAUAAUUUCUAA